UAUGACUUUUAUUAAUGUUGAGAUGGGUGACUUCUGUUCCCAAAAUAUUGGAUUUUUUUUUUGUAAAUAAAUGAUGACUUUUUUAAAAGCUUUUCUUGAAUACAUCGAUAUAAUUUUUAUUAUAUCUUUUUGUAAUUUUUAUGUAUUAAAUUAAUUGAUUUGCAAAAAAAUACCCAAAAGAACCAAACCAAGCAAAAAGAAAUUGUAAAUGUCGGGGCUGGAGUGAUAGCACAGCGGGUAGGGCGUUUGCCUUGCACUCGGCCGACCCGGGUUCAAUUCCCAGCAUCCCAUAUGGUCCCCCAGCACCGCCAGGAGUGAUUCCUGAGUGUAGGCUGUGCUCUCCCCAUCAAAACAAAACAGAAACAAGAAAUUGUCCAUCUUCUGGGAACUAGCCAACAGGCUUGUUUUGAGCAGUGGGGUCACCAGCUUCUCAUUCUCAAAGGCUGGGGAGGUGACUCACAGGGCUGGAGCACUUUGCAUGCAGGAGGUCCAGGUUCCAUCCCUGCCACAAAGCUGGAAGUAGCCCCUGAGCACUCGUGGCUCUGUACUCAGGGAUCACUCCUUGUGGUGCUCGGGGGACCUUAUGGGAUGCCGGAGGUUGAACCUGGGGUGGCUGUGUGCAAGGUGACUGCCUUCCCCACUGUACGAUCUCUCUGACCCAAGGCAAACUACACCCUGUUCUACCUCUCGACCCUGGGGACCUUGACUAGACGCUAGGCCUUCCCUCUCCCCUGUACCAGCAGGUCACCCACUCUCUAUCCCCUCCCGGUGAGAGGAAACCCAGCCGUGUGGGGAGGGUCAGGCCUGCAAGGGGUAACCCCCUCCUCCCCGGGAGGGGGUGCCUCUGAGAUGUAGAAUAGCAACCCCAUGACCCUCGCUCAUGACCCACUCAUCUGCAUCCAAGUUAUGUGAAUCAGCAGGUCCCUGAGCCCCUCAGUAUAGUUUCUCUACAGCCCACAGGGGCAGGGAUGUCUGUCCUUGCCAUACGAGUGGCCAGAAGUGAGGCCAACCCCAGGAAAAGGCAGUGUUGGGGCUGAAGCCAUAGCACAGCGGGUAGAACAUUUGCCUUGCACGUGGCCGACCCAGGUUUGAUUCCCAGCUUCCCAUAUGGUACCCCGAGCACUGCCAGGAGUAAUUCCUGAGUGCAUGAACCAGGAGUAACCCCUGUGCAUCACUGAGUGUGACCCAAAAAGCCAAAAAAAAAAAAAAAAAAACCAGUGUUGACAGAAUGCCCAGGCCAGGUCGGAGGUCCAACCUCCGUUUGAUGCCAUGCGUUCUACGAUUUUGUGUUCCUCACAGGCUGGGGGACAUAGGGCUCAGGGCCCCAUGUCCUGGCAGUUCCACCCUCCAUUCCCUCCAAGCACCAGCGUUGUGCCAAAAAGCAGGGGGUGAUUGAGGGCGUGGCUCACCCACAAAUCAGUGUCCUGGUCCUGCCAAGACCCUGCUGCUUCACCAACCCCAAGCUCCGGGCAGAGGAAAUCUGGCUGAUCAGCUCCAUGAAGGGAGCCCAGCCUCCCCUUCUGGAGUCAGCUGACUCCCCGGGGACCCCAAGCGAGGGAGAGCGUCUCCUCCCGUCUCUGGGCUCCCACCCACCAGCCAUGGCAGCCCGGUUCCUUUUUUGUGGGGGAUGCUCACUCCUGGCAACGCUCAGGACUUACUCCUGGCUCUGCGCUCAGGGAUCACUCCUGGCAGGGCUCAGGGAAUCUCAGGGAUGCCGGGGAUCGAACUGGGGUCAGCCAUGUCUAAGGCCAGCGCCCUUCCACUAUUGCUCAGUCCCUUAUUUUGGUUUUGGUUUUUGUGCCACACCUGGUGCUGCCCAGGGGUUCCUUCUGGCUCUGUGUUCAGGAAUCACUCCUUAUGGAGGUCUUUGGCCCCCAAGCAGUGAGAGUUGAAUCAGGGCUACUCAAGGGCGGGAGGCCAUGGACUAUAUACAUCUGGAAAGAUCUUCCAGGUCUUCUCCAGGGGAGGCUGGGUCAUUAAAGGUCGACAGCUGAAAGAUCUGAGAUAUCUGCAUCCAAUUCUUCUUUGUUUUGUUUUAUUUUAUUUAUUUAUUUGGUUUCGGUUUGAGGUCACACCCUAUGCUGGGGGGGGGCUUAGGGCAGGUCCUGUACUCACUCCAGGAGCAGCAGCUGGGGGGGCCACGCAGGGUGGGGGUGGGGUGGAAGUGGGAGUGGCAAAUGCCUUCACUCCUGCACUUGCUCCCCAGUACCCCAAUUCUCUGAUACAGAAGCAGAGGUCCAGGGAGAGGAAGAAACUUGUUCAAGGUCACCCAGCAAGACCAAUAGGAAAAGUGUGCCCGUGAAUACCAACCUCCCACACGGCUCCAGAAUCCUGGGAGAGGCAGCUCCUGCGAUUUCCCGGAUGUCCUGCGCCCCAGCUCUCCGCGCCCUCCCCUGCAGAGCUGCAGCCCCGUGCUGGGGCAGGGAGGGGGGCUGGGGGCUGCAGAGGGAGAGGGGUGGGGAGGGUGGUUGGUGAGGGGAGGAAGCAUUCCCAGAGGGCAGGGUGGGGAGCGUUGCUGGCCGGCUCUGCAAGACGCUGCAGCCUCUGCGGCUAAUGCACCAAUCAAAGCGCUGAAAAGCCACAGGAGGAAGCUGGGAGCCGGGGGCUGGAGCCUCGGUGAUUGAUGAUGACGGCACUGAAACAGCAGGAGCGAGUGUCUCUGGCUGGCCUGCUUCUCCGCUGGCUCAGCCUCAGAAGCCUGCCCGAGAAGGUGAGGAAAAGGAGCUCCCAAAGGAAGCAGCGGCUGUGCCCCAGAAGCCAAGGGCCAAGUAGGAGCCCUAGUGCUCGUUCCACCUCCCGGCUCUCAAGUUCUCCUGACCCAGCCCGUGGAGGAGGACAGUUGUGUCCAGCUCAGAGGAUACUCCUGGUGGUGCUGGGGACCAUAUGAGAUGGUGGGGAUCAAAUCCAGGUCAAUGCGUGCAAAGUAAGUGCCUUACCGUCUACUAUCUCUCCAGCCUCCAGAAUUCACUCUUUAACGCUCUACCCAGAGAGGAAGUAAGGGCUCUCCUGGGGUCAGUGUGCAGGCGGCCGCAUCCUUCCUGCAAUCAGCCACUUGGCGGUAUUUGUCCUUCUACGUUUUCACCUGGUCAGGUCCAAGAACUCAGGGUGCUGAUGGGGCGCAGGAACGUAGUGGAGCGGGAGGAGGGGAGCGAUAAACCCCCACAGUUGGGCUCCUUAAUGUA